AGGGAAUCUUCGGCAAUGGACGGAAGUCUGACCGAGCAACGCCGCGUGAGUGAAGAAGGUUUUCGGAUCGUAAAGCUCUGUUGUAAGAGAAGAACGAGUGUGAGAGUGGAAAGUUCACACUGUGACGGUAUCUUACCAGAAAGGGACGGCUAACUACGUGCCAGCAGCCGCGGUAAUACGUAGGUCCCGAGCGUUGUCCGGAUUUAUUGGGCGUAAAGCGAGCGCAGGCGGUUAGAUAAGUCUGAAGUUAAAGGCUGUGGCUUAACCAUAGUACGCCUUGGAAACUGUUUAACUUGAGUGCAAGAGGGGAGAGUGGAAUUCCAUGUGUAGCGGUGAAAUGCGUAGAUAUAUGGAGGAACACCGGUGGCGAAAGCGGCUCUCUGGCUUGUAACUGACGCUGAGGCUCGAAAGCGUGGGGAGCAAACAGGAUUAGAUACCCUGGUAGUCCACGCCGUAAACGAUGAGUGCUAGGUGUUAGACCCUUUCCGGGGUUUAGUGCCGCAGCUAACGCAUUAAGCACUCCGCCUGGGGAGUACGACCGCAAGGUUG
rnacentral:rRNA from 1 species